GUUCUCUCAAGCUCAGUUGGCAGAGCGUAGGACUCUUCAUCUCAGGGCUGUGAGUUUGAGCCCCACGUUGGGCA